CACGGUCCACAUGCGUUCUAGAUCACUAAUGAGUAUAAAUAUGGUACAGGUAAAGGUUAACCAUCGUCAGUAAUUCAAUACUUGGAUCAUACCCAACUAUUUCAUUAUAUUCUCGAGCAAAAUAUUAAAUUGCGUUGUGGGAAAAGAUAAUAAAACCUAAAGUUCUUGAACAAUGCCUUGUCCGGGAUGUAGUUCAGGUUGUCAGUGCACAUCGCAAUCAUGCGGAACUAACUGCAAUUGUAACCAAGGAUGUUCCUGCCAAGGAAGGAAGGAUUGAAAGAGCAGAGAAGUUCACACGGAAUCGAAACUGAUAUACGAUAAUCUGAUGAUUCCAAAUUUAAAAAUUAUCUCCCAUUUUGAAUAAAAGAACAUGUUUAUUUUUUAAAUGAUAAAA